UCCGCGGGAAACCGGACCGGAACUCAAGUGUGCAGAGCUCUGCUUCGCUAGGACUUCUUCUUCUCCAAAUGACCUGCCUUUAAUGAGUGGGGGGUGCCCUCUAUUUAUAGGGGUUCUUAUGGGGUCAAUCUGGUCAUUUGGGCAGUAACCGCCUAACUGCCCAACUGAUCAGAUUGGGUCCAGGGGUCGACUUUCCAGAGAUCGACUUUCUGGGGGUCGACUUUUCCUGGUGA
rnacentral:lncRNA from 1 species